AGAUACUUAGUCUUAACAGAUGAUGCGGAAAGCCGGGAUACCAACAAGAUUGCGCUUGCGGAACUAAAUCAUAUCUAUUCAAGAUUUAUUAUCUAUUAAGUAGAGAGAGAAAAUAAGGUCAACGAAGUUAUUCAGAAAUCAUGGUCCAACCAAGUGUCAAGCGAGAGUUGGGUCGAAUAAGAUAAUAGAGAUCAGUAUUGACUACAUGGGAAAAACUUGUUCAAUGGAUCCUGAAAAGGGCUUUCAUGAAGUCCAUAUUGAGGACAACAUAGAAGUAAUACUCAGUAAACGUAAAGUAGAGUUAUACAAUGCUGUGAUUGAAGAACGUGAGGAUUUCACAGUCGAGGCUGAAGUUCUUCGUGAGGUAACAUCCACAAAGUACACCAUUCUUCAUGUUGCUGCACAAUCUGGAAACACAAAAAUUGCAAAAAAGAUUAUCGAUUUAGACCCAUCACUCUUGCUCGAGCGCAACUCGAAAGGCAACACUCCACUUCAUAUUGCCGCAAGUUUGGGGCAUCUGGACAUGACAAAUUUUCUAUUGUCGCAACACCAACACAUGAUGGUACCGCUGUUGAAGAUUACAAAUGAAAAGAAUGAAACGGCAUUGCAUGGUGCGGUACGAAAUGGCCACAGUAAGAUUGUGAAGAAGCUAAUUGAAAAAGAUCCGAGCUUGACUUCAUUAUGCAAUGAGGAUGGAGAAUCUCCUCUCUUCAUAGCCGUGGAUAGAGGGUUUUUUGAUAUUGCUGAAUAUAUCCUAGACAAUGAAGAAUGCUGUGAAUACAGGGGAAGUAAAGGCAUGAAUAUCUUGCAUGCUGCUGCCAUUCGCCUGGAUGAAAGCAAUUUGUUUAAACUUUCCACUCAAGAUUUUUUUACCUGGAAAGCUGUCGUCUCAUUCCUAAGAGAAGUGCGUCAUAAUCUAUAUGCCAUAAGAGAUAGCUUUUAUCAAACGAAGAUCCCUAAGCAAAUUUUGGACAAAAGAAAAAAACUCAAUAUCACAAAAAUAGAUUUUAUGGAAAAAGUUAUAGACAAAUUUCCAAAGGCAAUUGCGGAAGAGGAUGACUUUGGCUGGACUCCUCUUCUUUAUGCUGCACACUUUGGCGAGGAAGAACUUGUGAAACUAUUUUUGGACAGAGAUUUUUCCCUUGCUUACAAACAGAACAACGAAGGCAUGUGUGCUCUUCACAUUUCUACCAAGGAAGGACAUGUUGACGUAAUGAGAAUGCUCAUUGAAAGAUGUCCAUAUACUUGUCAAUUGUUCGACAAAAGCCAUAGGACAGCUCUUCAUCUUGUAGCGGAAAGUGGACAUACAAAAGCCCUUAAAGUUUUUUUCCAAAAUAGGAAAUUCGCUUUCCGUGAUCUCAUGAAUGAGCAAGAUGAUGAAGGAAACACCCCUUUUCAUAUCGCUGCCGCAAAUAGGCAUUAUGCACUAUUAAUGAGUCUGGCAGAUGUUAGAAGAAUGAGGGCUCCUGUGAACAAAAAAGGGGAGAGUAUUCUCGACAUUAUUCAAGCAGAUAGUGAACUGAUGGAAGAUGAAAAGAAGAUAAUCGUGUCAAAUUUGGGGAGACACAACGUUCUACGGAGUUUGGACACAAUGGUUGACAGACAGGCUACAAAAGUGAAGAGUUCUAAGGCAGAAGGAACUGGUGCUGCUAAUUCUUCAGAGGAAAAUGGUAAGAAAGACAAAGAAGACGAUAAUAUGAAAGCCCAAAAAGAUAAAAAAGAUGAUAUCAAGGAUUUGGCCAACUUCAAUCUAGUGGUCGCCACAAUCAUUGCAACUGUAACUUUCGCAGCAGCCUUUCAAGUUCCUGGUGGAACUGGUGGUGACGGCUUGGCAACUUUAAGGGAAAAAGGCAGUUUUGUGAAAUUUCUGAUAUAUGACUCGUUGGCAUUUGGGUUUUCAGCUGUCUCAAUUUUUGCUAACUUUGCGUAUCCGUUUUUAGCAAAAGCUACUCGUAUCACAUACCCAAUAAUGUUCUCCUUGGUAUUAACUGAAUUCUCCCUUAUCUGUUUGGUCCUUGCCUUUAUAGAAGGCACAAGAUCAGUCUUGACUGAAAAUUCAUGGCUUCCUGAGGUCGCGUAUGCCUCUCUUUUUCCCAUUUCGUUUUUCUUAGUGAGACCAAUUAUCGUUAGGAAAACUUUCCUGUUCUCAUCCCGUAAACUACCGUGGUACCUUUGAGUUCAGUUCAGUCUUAGCUCAAGAUUCCAACAUUGAUCCCCACUAGCUCUUCAUGAGGUAGUAAGUAAUCACAUGUCAUCAAUUUCAUCCUCAGUUCUAAGGGUUCGUAGUCGUAGCACCUUAAUUUUCCCUUGUCUUAUCUUCAUUUCUGCAACCUAUGUGUUAUUUUUACCGAAACUACAGAGUCCUCUGGCAGUUUGUUUAAUAAUUUAUGUAUAAAUUGCUUGUAUCUGGGUUGAAACAUGAAAGUACAAUGCAAUUUGGUCUAUCGGCCUUUAUGGUUUGUCUGUCUCUUUUUACUUAAUAAUAAAGAACAGUUUGGAAUCUAUGUAAUAGUUGGUUCUUGGUUUUGAAAUGUUCCAUACACAAUUAUGGUAGAUUGUGAUAUGAAAGGAAUGAAUUGCGUUAGUGUUUUAA